GACGAACGCUGGCGGCGUGCCUAAUACAUGCAAGUCGAGCGAAGCGGCGGAUGGGUGAGUAACGCGUGGGCAACCUGCCCUUAAGUCUGGGAUACCCUUUGGAAACCGAUGCUAAUACCGGAUACGAAAGGAUGGACCUGCGAUGCAUUAGCUAGUUGGUAAGGUAACGGCUUACAAAGGCAAUAAUGCAUAUCCGGGUUGAGAGACUGAUCGGCCACAUUGGGACUGAGACACGGCCCAAACUCCUACGGGAGGCAGCAGUGGGGAAUAUUCCACAAUGGACGAAAGUCUGAUGGAGCAACGCCGCGUGAGGGAAGAAGGUUUUCGGAUCGUAAAGCUCUGUUGUUGGUGAAGCGGUAAUCGAACAGAAAGUAACGGCUAACUACGUGCCAGCAGCCGCGGUAAUAC
rnacentral:rRNA from 1 species